CUCUGUUCUCCGUGCUCAGAAAAAAACCCUUUGAUAAGGUUGUUAUGGAUGCAAGGCAGAGCGGGUUGGGCUGGGUGCUUUUCUUAGCCUGGCAUUACACAUUUAUGAUGCAAACCAAUGAAGAAGCAAGGGCUCAGAGUGCAAGGUAAAACCUCAUUGAAAUAACUGCAGUAAUGAAGACAUUACCUAAAGGAGAGGACAGACUGUGCAAAUGGGAACAGCUUCGGGGCUGGACACAAGUGGCUGGGAAACGUCCACAGCCGUUCUCACUCUCUGGGAGGCAAGGAUGGAAAUCACUGGUGACACAUGGGUCAAUGGCCUGUCUCCUGGCUCAAGACACACAAAGAAGAGACUCUUUGAAGUCUCAGGAGCACUCAGUUGAAUAGCACCUGGGAUUUGAAGGUCUGCCGUAGACUCUGAAGAAAAGGAGAAAACACACACAAACCACCCAAUCAUAGGGCCCUCUGUGGCUCCUCACCCACCCUCCAUCCUCCACCCUCCACCUUCCACCUAUUCCACUCCUCUGGAUUGUCAAUUAAAAUAAACAGCCUUGUAUUCCACGGCCUGGCUUCAAUCUAUCUUGGCCGGGAGGAUACGCACGGAUUUGUGGCAGUGCCUGAAAGUCCUUGCUCAACCUUUUUAAUAUCUGAACAAAGCAAUCAAACCCGAUAAGAUCUAGCGAAGGCAAGAUCACUCUUCUGUCCCCGGGAUGGAAGCUUAUUAGUCUGUGGCCCACAUCAUCAGAGUUAUUGUGCCAUGUUAAAUUUAUUGGUACUAUCUCACCUCAUUAAAUACUUAAAUAGACCUGACAGGACAGAAAAACGGGCUUUUUAAUUUUUUUCUUCUCUCCAAAGGGAGCUGGUGUUUCCCAUGUCCCAGUUCACCUCUGCUGCAGCUGUUGGCAGAGAAGCGAGAAAGCCUGGCUCUGUGCGGAAGGUUCAGGCUGGCUGCCUGGCGGCUCCCAGGGUCCUCCUGACCCUGACCUGCCUUGGGCCAGAAGUGAGGAAAGCACCUUGCAGGGUGUGUCCGUGUCCGUGGGAAGGGGGUAAAGAAAAGGCAGAGCGUAAGCAACCAUGACAUUUAUUCUCUUUGCCGAGUUACCCAAAUCUGUGUGACUCUUAGCAUUUUCUAAGAGAAGCCUUGUCAGUCAUUUAGCCAGGACACUUGCCAGCAAUAAAGGUCACAGUCACUGAAGAGAGAGGAAAUAGGGAGGGUAUAGGGGAGGGUGGAAGUGGAGUGGGAGUGAGCUCACAGCAGCUCCCCAUCCAUCCCCCAGCACU
rnacentral:lncRNA from 1 species